UGGGGAAUAUUGCACAAUGGGGGAAACCCUGAUGCAGCGACGCCGCGUGAACGAAGAAGGUAUUCGUAUCGUAAAGUUCUGUCCUAUGGGAAGAUAAUGACAGUACCAUAGAAGAAAGCUCCGGCUAAAUACGUGCCAGCAGCCGCGGUAAUACGUAUGGAGCGAGCGUUGUCCGGAAUUAUUGGGCGUAAAGGGUACGCAGGCGGUUUAAUAAGUCGAAUGUUAAAGAUCGGGGCCCAACCCCGUAAAGCAUUGGAAACUGAUAAACUUGAGUAGUGGAGAGGAAAGUGGAAUUCCUAGUGUAGUAGUGAAAUACGUAGAUAUUAGGAGGAAUACCAGUAGCGAAGGCGACUUUCUGGACACAAACUGACGCUGAGGUACGAAAGCGUGGGGAGCAAACAGG
rnacentral:rRNA from 1 species